AUCUCUCUUCUAAUAGUGUUCUUUCUUUUCAUAGGCAUGCCUUACAUUUUCUUGUACCAAGUGGAAUUUCCUACUGUAUCAUAAUCCUAAUAGGAGUGGAGAACCUAUACAAACACUUGGUGGCAUGUGUGCAUCAGCAGUAACCCCGACCCUGCACACCAUGGGGAGCAUGGACCCUUAGCCAGAUGCUGCUGGACACCUCAUUAAGGAGACUCCAGAGGAGAAUGUUGGGAGGAUGCAUAAAGCUGUGUCCAGGGGAAUGAGUGGAAGCUGCAGCGAGCCUCCAGCUGAAGAGAAAGUACCCGUCUGAAACCUGCAAGAACAGGGAAUUCUUUCAAGUCAACAUGAGAAGAACUCAAAUUGGGCAAAGUAGUUUUUUCAGAUCUGGAAGUGAUUUAUGCACAUAUGAAAAAUUAGUGUUUCUGGUAAGAGAAUGAAUUUAAAGCAGAAUGAAAUACUGUUUCCUAUCUACAAAGUUUUAAAGGAUGUUGAGCAGUGAUAUUUACACUGCUGCUUAAAGUUUAAGUUGCUGAUGACUUUUUAAAUCAACAAUGUGGCAAGUACCACACUGAAAAAAUGUUUAUGCCCUUUACCAAUUAAUUCCAUUAUACUAAAAUAUAUUUAGGAAACAAUGAGAGAUACAUGCAAUCUGUUUUUCUCAGUUUCGCUUAAAAUAUCAUUGUAUUAAGAAGAAUCCAUACAAGGGAAGUCAUAAAUUUGUGGAUGAGUGUAUUCUGUGAACUUUUAGCAUCUUCAGAAGUGAAGAGAACCUUUUCAUCUGUGUGUGUUGAUUUAUGUAUUUUUUUCCUUUUUUUGUUUGAGACAAAGCCUCAGUUUUAUCCAGGCUGGAGGCAGUCAUGUGUUCUUGGCUCACUGCCACCCCUGUGUCCAGAGUUCAAGUGAUUCCCAUGGCUCAGCCUCCAAAGUAGCCAGGUUUACAGGCAUACAUUAGGACACCUGCUGAAAAUUUUGUAUUUUUAGUGGAGAUGUAAUGUUGCCAUACUGGUCAGACUGGUCUUGACCUCCUGACCUCAAUCAAUUCACCCGCCUGGGCCUCCCUAUGUCCUGGGAUUACAAGCAUGAGUCGCUGCAGCAGACCUAUGUAUACAUUUUAUUAGACACAUGUUUGCAUUAUGUAUAGAUUUAUUUCCUAUAUGCCAAUUAUAGAUUAAUAAUUUGUUUAGUUUUAUGAAAAUUAAAGUAGCAAGUAUGAGUGCUUACUAACAUUUUUGCAAAAAUAUUUAUUUGUAGCAGUCUUUUAAAAUAACGAACAUCAAAAUGGUAUGUAUACAUUUUUAUAAAUCCAUUUAUUGAUCAACUAUAAGCGGAAUGCCUGUUAUGUAGAAGACACUUUCUACUAAAUCUCAAGAACCAUCCAUCCUUAAAAAUUUCAUGUUUACCUUCCCUUCCUGAGCAAGAAGAGAGGUUUAAAAUUGCAGUAGUGGGACAGAAUUGCAAUUGAAGUUUUUAUUCUUGUUGUUCAAACAAGAGUUUCUGAUAUGAGAAAGUAGUACAAGAUAACGUAAGAUGCAAUUUUGAAAACUGGUAACAGUCUUAAAUGAUAACCUUAUACAUACUUUAUAUGCAUUCCAUGUAUCUAAAUACUAAUUUGCAUGCAUUCUGUAAAUCUGCUGAAUAAAAUGAUCAACUGUUAUUU